rnacentral:miRNA from 1 species
UAACAGAGUAAUUGUACAGUG